rnacentral:rRNA from 1 species
CUCUUAUGAAGUUAGCGGCGGACGGGUGAGUAACACGUGGGUAACCUGCCCAUAAGACUGGGAUAACUCCGGGAAACCGGGGCUAAUACCGGAUAACAUUUUGAACCGCAUGGUUCGAAAUUGAAAGGCGGCUUCGGCUGUCACUUAUGGAUGGACCCGCGUCGCAUUAGCUAGUUGGUGAGGUAACGGCUCACCAAGGCAACGAUGCGUAGCCGACCUGAGAGGGUGAUCGGCCACACUGGGACUGAGACACGGCCCAGACUCCUACGGGAGGCAGCAGUAGGGAAUCUUCCGCAAUGGACGAAAGUCUGACGGAGCAACGCCGCGUGAGUGAUGAAGGCUUUCGGGUCGUAAAACUCUGUUGUUAGGGAAGAACAAGUGCUAGUUGAAUAAGCUGGCACCUUGACGG